rnacentral:rRNA from 1 species
UACGUAGGCAGCGAGCGUUGUUCGGAAUUACUGGGCGUAAAGAGUGUGUAGGCGGCGCUCUAAGUUCGGUGUGAAAUCUCUCGGCUUGACUGGGAGGGUGCGCCGGAAACUGGAGUGCUCGAACGUGGGAGAGGAAAGCGGAAUUCCUGGUGUAGCGGUGAAAUGCGUAGAUAUCGUGAGGAACACCAGAGGCGAAGGCGGUUACCUGGACAGUUACUGACGCUCAGGCACGAAAGCAUGGGGAGCAAAAGGG